GACAGAGGCCUCAAGCGUUAGGCGGAAUCACUGGGCUUAAAGCGUGUGUAGGCGGAUCGUUAAGUGUCUUGUGAAAUCCCCACGGCUCACCCGUGGGAACUGCUGGGCAUACUGGCGAUCUUGGGCCAACUAGGGGCAACUGGAACAAGCGGUGGAGCGGUGAAAUGCGUAGAUAUCGCUUGGAACGCCCAACGGUGAAAACCAGGUUGCUGGGGUUGUGCCGACGCUGAGACACGAAAGCCAGGGGAGGCAAACGGG
rnacentral:rRNA from 1 species